UACGAAGGGUGCAAACGUUGCUCGGAAUUAUUGGGCGUAAAGCGCGCGUAGGCGGCUUGGCAAGUCGGAUGUGAAAUCCCUCGGCUCAACCAAGGAAGUGCAUCCGAAACUGCUGAGCUUGAGUACUUAAGAGGAUCGCGGAAUUCCCGGUGUAGAGGUGAAAUUCGUAGAUAUCAGGAAGAACACCCGUGGCGAAAGCGGCUCUCUGGAACGGUACUGACGCUGAGACGCGAAAGCGUGGGGAGCGAACAGG
rnacentral:rRNA from 1 species